rnacentral:rRNA from 1 species
AGCAGCCGCGGUAAUUCCAGCUCCAAUAGCGUAUAUUAAAGUUGUUGCAGUUAAAAAGCUCGUAGUUGAAUUUCGGGAUCAGUACGCCGGUCGUGCCUUCGGUAUGUACUGGUGUCACUGAUUCCUCCCUUCUGACGAACCGUUAUGCCAUUUAUUUGGUGUGGCGGGGAAUCAGGACUGUUACUUUGAAAAAAUUAGAGUGUUUAAAGCAGGCUCGCGCUUGAAUACAUUAGCAUGGAAUAAUGAAAUAGGACGUUUGAUUCUAUUUUGUUGGUUUCUAGGAUCGACGUAAUGAUUAAUAGGGAUAGUUGGGGGCAUUAGUAUUCAAUUGUCAGAGGUGAAAUUCUUGGAUUUAUUGAAGACUAACUACUGCGAAAGCAUUUGCCAAGGAUGUUUUCAUUAAUCAAGAACGAAAGUUAGGGGAUCGAAGACGAUCAGAUACCGUCGUAGUCUUAACCAUAAACUAUGCCGACUAGGGAUCGGAUGAUGUUAAUUUUUUAAUGACUCAUUCGGCGCCUUA